GUCACCUUAUAGUAGCGGACCCUUUCCCCAUUUUUGUACCAUCAUCAACAAAUAGCAAUAGCCUUCAAUUGCUUAACAUUGCUUCAUUAUCUUCCCAACUUGUUAAUGGCUGCCCUAUUUCCUUCAGCUUCUAUGCGCCAAUCUGACAUCGAAGGCAAAUUGGGAGUGGCCCAUUUUUCGCUUCAUAACAAGAAAACAACGCCAAUUUGGCAGAGUGGGUUUUCUGUAAAGGCAAUGAGUGUUUCAAAGUCGGAAAAGAAGCAAGUUUGGAUAUGGACGCAGAAGAAAGAAGUAAUGACCGCUGCUGUGGAGAGGGGUUGGCAUACUUUCAUCUUUCAAUCUGAUUGCCGUGAGCUUGCUUCUCAGUGGUCGUCUUUGGCAUUGUUGUUUCCUCUCUUUGUAGAAGAAGGAGGGCUCUUUGAUGGGGAGCACGUCAAAGUCGCCACCCUCUUUGAGGUUUCUUCUCCCGCACAGCUGAAGAAUCUCGAGCUGUUGAGUGAUAAAGCAGAUAAUGUUGUUGUGGAUCUGCUGGACUGGCAGGUGAUUCCUGCGGAAAAUAUUGUUGCAGCAAUUCAAGGCACUCAGAAAACAGUCUUUGCCAUCUCAAAGACGCCAUCGGAAGCUCAAUUGUUCUUUGAGGCAUUGGAGCAUGGUCUGGGAGGUGUGGUUUUGAAAACAGAGGACGUUGAUGCCAUUUUCCAGUUGAAGGAAUAUCUGGACAAAAGAAACAACCAAGGUAGUUUACUGGAAUUGACAAAGGCCACGGUCACUAAUAUUCAAAUGGUGGGAAUGGGUGAUCGUGUAUGCGUUGACAUGUGCAGCCUAAUGAGACCCGGUGAAGGACUUCUGGUUGGAUGCUUUGCUAGAGGGCUUUUUCUCAUCCAUUCCGAAUGCUUAGAGUCGAAUUACAUUUCCAGCAGGCCUUUUCGGGUCAAUGCGGGCCCAGUACAUGCAUACGUUGCUGUUCCUGGGGAAAAGACUAGCUACCUUUCAGAACUAAAAGCCGGGAGAGAGGUAGUUGUUGUAGACCAAGAUGGGAUGCAGCGAACAGCCAUUGUCGGUCGCGUGAAGAUAGAGACAAGACCAUUGAUCCUUGUUGAGGCAAAUGUACUUGAUGAUCAUCAAAUUUCCUACACUAUGAUCCUUCAAAAUGCUGAAACAGUUGCUCUUGUUGGAGCGGGACAUCAAAAUCAAGCCAUUCCCGUGACAUCGUUGAAACUAGGUGACGAAGUUCUGCUAAGUGUGCAGGGAGGUGCACGACACACCGGUAUACAAAUAGAGGAAUUCAUUGUUGAGAAAUGACUCUCUAUGAGUAAUGGUUGAAUGCUACUAUGCAUGUAAUGCUUGCUUCUGUGUUGCUUUGUUGUUCGUGUGAAGCAGAAUAGAAUCUUAUGCGGUUUAGUGUUAGUCAUAGACAAUAUAACACAAGCCGCAUGUUAAAUAAACAAACUGUGCAGCCUACUCAUCUCAACAUUAACAAGAAAGGCGAUAAACAGAGCCCAAAAGAUCACCUCGCCUCAAUGAAUAUCCAUAUCACUACAUGGUAUGAAAAAAGCAAUCAGUCUCUCAACCAGCUGAAGUUGAUCUUGGAGAAGAAUGAACAGAAACAUGAAGGAGGCGGUCAGAGUUUGUUAACUAAUGGAGAUUGCAGAGGCGGAAUAUCUGAUAUGGCGAGGCAUGGAACCUCUUAGGCAUGGAGAGACUCCUCACUUGCUGGUCGUUUUUCAUCUGCAUUUACCUCCUGUUAUGGUAUUCAUGUUUAUGCCACUAAGGGCAGCGCUCAUUGCCUGGAAAUAGGAAGUAGACCUGACUGUGUCCUUGAGGAUCGAGAGCUAGAACCACCUUGCUCAUAGCAGGUCUAAUCUUUGAAUCACGGUUGAGGCAAUGAGCAGCCAGCUGCACGGUUCUCUGCAGGGCUUUGAUUGAGAAGUGCCCCUCCAGACUACGAUCAAUUAGCCUGUAGAACCCACCUCUUCUCGUCGAGGAAAGGCGUCCCCUCCACCCAGCUGUGCUUACCGUGAGGUCUGCUCUUGUCCAUGGAUCUUCGCCCCAUCAACAGCUCGAGCAAAACCACUCUGGCACUAUAAACAUCGCCCUUUGAUGUGAGAUGCCCUGAGAAACGAGACUAUGUCCGAAAAGCUAUUUUCGCACUUGAACAAUUCAUUUAGCAAGCGGAUGACGAAGUUAGCUGUUAUGACAAACUGAUACGGAUAAUGGAAGAGAGAUAGUAGCCCACAAAUCUAGUUGAGUGGUUAGUUUGUUCAGCUAACUAAUGGAGAAGAUAUGGGAGAAGAAAUAGGCAAUCUUGUUAAGUUGUUUUUUCAGUUUCAUGAUUAGUUUUGCUACAUUAAAUCAUUUAUAAAUAGUGAGAUUCUUGGUA